rnacentral:rRNA from 1 species
AUGGUUUGCGGGAAAACUCUUCUCUCUCUGGUCUCACUUCGAGUCCUUCUAGAAGUAAAUAAAGGAAAUGCUUAUUCAACUACGGCACUGUCGGACAACCGACCGGAUUCAAGCCCUAGCCCCUCAACUUGGACGGUGAAAGUGCGUUAUAUCGACUAG